rnacentral:rRNA from 1 species
UACGUGGGGGGCUAGCGUUGUCCGGAAUCAUUGGGCGUAAAGCGCGUGUAGGCGGUCCGGUAAGUCCGCUGUGAAAGUCGAGGGCUCAACCCUCGAAUGCCGGUGGAUACUGUCGGGCUAGAGUACGGAAGAGGCGAGUGGAAUUCCUGGUGUAGCGGUGAAAUGCGCAGAUAUCAGGAGGAACACCAAUUGCGAAGGCAGCUCGCUGGGACGUUACUGACGCUGAGACGCGAAAGCGUGGGGAGCAAACAGG